GGGGGGGGCGAGGUGGGGGGCGCGGGGCGGGGAGGGGCGGCUCGGCUUUCCCCAGGGCCCUAUUGGACCUGUCUGAAUUUAGGCCAUUUAAUGGGUGGCCGGCUUACUCUUUUCAUGGCUUUCAGAAGCAGACCCCGAAAAUAUCCUCCCUUUCCUCCAUCCCCAGGAUCAUUGGGAUUCCACCCUGCCUCGCUCUCUGGCACAGCCUGUCCACCAGGCCUGCGGAUGUCUGAUCCUGGGUCAUCUGCCUUACCCGCUUGUUCCCUGGCUUCGAACGGAAUGGAUGACUUUGCCUCAGGCAUGCUAACCUUCUCCUCCAGAAGCCCACAAUUCGUAUGGGGCGAGAAUUCAUAUGAAGAAACAGAGGAAAGGGAACCUCUGCCACUCCAGUGCAGCCUGACAUUCCUGAGAUGCCUCAAGACACAGCUAAACAAAUGGUAUGCACCUGGGUAUGUGGAGCUUGAGGAAGAGCUUCACUCAUCUUUCACCUUCUAUUCUCUGAUGCUGGGUAGGGUCCUCCUUUCUGGUUUUUUUUUUUUUUGGUGUUGUUCAUUUAUUUUUUUAAUGAUUGGCCCUGAGCUAAUAUCUGUUGCCAUUUUUUGUUCUUCUUCUCCCCAAAUUCCCCUAGUACAUGGUUUUAUAUUCUAGUUGUAGGUCCUUCUGCUUCUGCUAUGUGGAUGCUGCUUCAGCAUGGCUUGAUGAGAUCCAUUCCCAGGAUCUGAACUGGUGAAGCCCUGGGCUGCUGAAGCAGAGCAUGUGAACUUAACCAUUCGGCCACGGGGCCUUCUUGGUUUUUGGUUUCCACCCACCACCGUGAUGUCAGACUCUCUUUGACUUUGAGAGUCUCCUCUGGCAGAGAAGGGAGGUAGAAAUCUCUUCAAGUGUGGGGUGGUUCCUGCCUUAGCUGAUAUCGCUGCAGAAACCUCUCUCCACAGCCUGGUCAUGGGCUUGGCACCUGCCGCAAGAAAUUGGACCUGUAGCAUGUGCAAUGGUUCUGAAGCCUGUGACCAAUCCUCCCACUGCCAUCAAAAUAAAGGGUGGUUCUGAGACCUAUUUCA
rnacentral:lncRNA from 1 species